CCUACGGGAGGCAGCAGUGAGGAAUAUUGGUCAAUGGGCGAGAGCCUGAACCAGCCAAGUCGCGUGAGGGAGUACUGCCCUAUGGGUUGUAAACCUCUUUUGUCGGGGAGCAAAAGCCGGACGUGUCCGGCUGUGAGAGUACCUGAAGAAAAAGCAUCGGCUAACUCCGUGCCAGCAGCCGCGGUAAUACGGAGGAUGCGAGCGUUAUCCGGAUUUAUUGGGUGUAAAGGGUGCGCAGGCGGAUUUUUAAGUCAGCGGUAAAAUCGUGGGGCUCAACCCCAUCCAGCCGUUGAAACUGGGGAUCUAGAGUGUGCGAGAGGUAUGCGGAAUGCGUGGUGUAGCGGUGAAAUGCAUAGAUAUCACGCAGAACCCCGAUUGCGAAGGCAGCAUACCGGUGCACAACUGACGCUCAGGCACGAAAGCGUGGGUAUCGAACAGGAUUAGAUACCCCUGUAGUC
rnacentral:rRNA from 1 species